GUGCUCGCUUCGGCAGCACAUAUACUAAACUGGAAUGAUACAGAGAUUAGCAUGGUUCUUGUGCAAGGAUGACAUGCAAAUUCAUGAAGCAUUCCAUAUUUUU